UAGGGAAUCUUCGGCAAUGGACGAAAGUCUGACCGAGCAACGCCGCGUGAGUGAAGAAGGUUUUCGGAUCGUAAAACUCUGUUGUUAGAGAAGAACAAGGACGUUAGUAACUGAACGUCCCCUGACGGUAUCUAACCAGAAAGCCACGGCUAACUACGUGCCAGCAGCCGCGGUAAUACGUAGGUGGCAAGCGUUGUUCGGAUUUAUUGGGCGUAAAGCGAGCGCAGGCGGUUUCUUAAGUCUGAUGUGAAAGCCCCCGGCUCAACCGGGGAGGGUCAUUGGAAACUGGGGGAGUUGAGUGCAGAAGAGGAGAGUGGAAUUCCAUGUGUAGCGGUGAAAUGCGUAGAUAUAUGGAGGAACACCAGUGGCGAAGGCGGCUCUCUGGUCUGUAACUGACGCUGAGGCUCGAAAGCGUGGGGAGCAAACAGG
rnacentral:rRNA from 1 species